UACGAAGGGGGCUAGCGUUGCUCGGAAUUACUGGGCGUAAAGCGCGCGUAGGCGGCUCUUUAAGUCGGGGGUGAAAUCCUGGAGCUCAACUCCAGAACUGCCUUCGAUACUGUAGAGCUUGAGUUCGGGAGAGGUGAGUGGAACUGCGGGUGUAGAGGUGAAAUUCGUAGAUAUUCGCAAGAACACCAGUGGCGAAGGCGGCUCACUGGCCCGAUACUGACGCUGAGGUGCGAAAGCGUGGGGAGCAAACAGG
rnacentral:rRNA from 1 species